UGUUGAAAGUUCCAUCCAUUUCUACUGUUAAUAACGUAUAAGGACCAGUUUUUAACAGUAAAAAUGAAUGGAAUUUUCAAUA
rfam:Gossypium raimondii Chr10_contig_1375, whole genome shotgun sequence.